rnacentral:rRNA from 1 species
UACAGAGGGUGCGAGCGUUAAUCGGAAUUACUGGGCGUAAAGCGUGCGUAGACGGCUAUCUAAGUCGGGUGUGAAAGCCCCGGGCUCAACCUGGGAAUUGCAUUCGAGACUGAAUAGCUAGGGUACGGUAGAGGGAAGUGGAAUUUCCGGUGUAGCGGUGAAAUGCGUAGAUAUCGGAAGGAACAUCAGUGGCGAAAGCGACUUCCUGGACCAGUACCGACGUUCAGGCACGAAAGCGUGGGGAGCGAACAGG